UACGGAGGGGGCGAGCGUUAUUCGGAAUUAUUGGGCGUAAAGGGCGCGUAGGCGGCGCGGUAAGUCACUUGUGAAAUCUCUGAGCUUAACUCAGAACGGCCAAGUGAUACUGCAGUGCUAGAGUGCAGAAGGGGCAAUCGGAAUUCUUGGUGUAGCGGUGAAAUGCGUAGAUAUCAAGAGGAACACCUGAGGUGAAGACGGGUUGCUGGGCUGACACUGACGCUGAGCGCGCGAAAGCCAGGGGAGCAAACGGG
rnacentral:rRNA from 1 species